rnacentral:lncRNA from 1 species
CAACAGUGUCUGCCAAGUAAGCCAGACUUCCAUUCAAGAACAGCCAAAUACAUGUUAUUUAAAAAUAUACAUAAGGGUGAUGUCAGCCUCAUGACAGAAUGAGCUCUUCCCUUAGACUCUUCUCCCUAGGAAAUAAUGAAAAGGAAAUUCAUAAACCAACAUGGGACAUUCACACAACACAAAAGAAGUCUGAGAGACCCACACAGCCAUGCAUCUGAACAUGGAGGUGCUAGACCCCUGGAGGAAGAGGAUGGAGAAAGGAAUUUAGAAGAGAAAGAUCUGAUUCUUUGGCCACAGUUCAAAGACAUGAGAUACAAUUCAGGGGCUGUGAUCGUGAACCUGGACAUCAUGACACAGGUUAAAAGCUGGAGAAGACUGAUUAGUCAGCCCAUGUCUCCUAAGCAUGAUGAAAGCCGAUCAUGUCCUUGGGUACAUACACAAUGGAGCAGUUUCCAGACUAUAGAGAUGGAUUUCAAGCUACCUCUGACCAGUAGUUUUCUUAAAUAUGCAGCAACACUGAGAAAAUAAUCAAUGUUCUUGCAAUUCCAAAUUUCAGUGAAGAAACUGACCAGUUCACUUGGGCUUAACUAAUGAUUGUGAGGACUACAGAGAACCACUAAAUAAAUGAGGCUAUCAUUAAAGGGUUUAUUCCAAACUAGUUUCUGAACACAUUUACAAGAGAAAAGGAUAAAGGGAGCGUCUCUCAUUGUGCCGUACAGUCUAAUGGACAAGAGAACACAUAUAAUCAUACACAUGAAUGCAUUUUAAUUCUUAAGUGGAUGCUCUUCUCUAGCUGGAAGAACAGAAGAAGAAAGGAAACAAAAUGAUAUCUAAAUUUAUAUUCACUUAUUCACUGAUUCAAGUAGACCCACACAAGAUUUGUGGGGGUUUUUCCCCUGAAUAGGUAGAAUGAAAACAACAGAAUUGUCAUGAUUUAGCCUAAAUAAAAACAGGGGAAUGAUCAGAACCUAAUUUCAUUUCGUU